AACGAACGCUGGCGGCAUGCCUAACACAUGCAAGUCGAACGAGACCUUCGGGUCUAGUGGCGCACGGGUGCGUAACGCGUGGGAACCUGCCCUUAGGUUCGGAAUAACUCCCCGAAAGGGGUGCUAAUACCGGAUAAUGUCUUCGGACCAAAGAUUUAUCGCCUUUGGAUGGGCCCGCGUUGGAUUAGCUAGUUGGUAGGGUAAAAGCCUACCAAGGCGACGAUCCAUAGCUGGUCUGAGAGGAUGAUCAGCCACACUGGGACUGAGACACGGCCCAGACUCCUACGGGAGGCAGCAGUGGGGAAUAUUGGACAAUGGGCGAAAGCCUGAUCCAGCAAUGCCGCGUGAGUGAUGAAGGCCUUAGGGUUGUAAAGCUCUUUUACCCGGGAUGAUAAGGACAGGACCGGGAGAAUAAGCUCCGGCGAACUCCGG
rnacentral:rRNA from 1 species